GAGUGGGGUGGAACGAGGCUGCAGAACAGGACUGCGUUCACUAAGGCUCUGAUGAUCUUCUCAAGCUCUGUCAGGUUGGAUGGGGAGCAUCACUGCAAGGCUCUGGCUGGACCAUUCAAAGACAUUCAUAUACUUGUCCCAAAGCCACUCCUGCGUUGUCUUAGCUGUGUGCUCGGGGUCGUUGUCCUGUUGGAAGGAAAUGGCUUCCUGAAAUCCCUCAAGCAGCUGAUUGGUCGACUCCAUGGCUAUUUGGAGAGCUGACCCCGCCCCCUCGUCAAGACACAGCUGUCUCCAGUUACACAUUCAUUCUGAAGCUAUAUAAAAGCCAGUGUUCUGUUCAGGAGGUUAAUUGCUGGGAGGUCAUUGCAGAGAGAUUGAAUGUGAUGGAGAAUCAUUGCUGAGAGAGGAGGCUGAUGGCUAUGGAUAAUUUACUAUGUUAGUUGUUGGUAGCAGUUGGUAAGUUCAGUGAGUUUGUUGCUCAGAUAGAGCUUAUUUGAUGUCCUUUGUUUCUUAGUUUGUUUGAGAAAUUAUUUGUUCUCCUGUUUCAUUUGUUCCCAGGGGUUAAGGGGAAGGCACCUAGGGAGUGCUUAGGCAAGAGGCCCGCGGGCAUGCAUAUACCCGUAGCAUUUUCACUGUCUAGGCACAAUAGGUAAGACCUGGGCGGACCACCCCCUGUAUUUUGGUUAGGGCACCAGGUGGUGCUAAAUUAGGUAAGUAUUGGUUAGGCAGGUAAGAUAGGAGAGGGGGGGGGCUUUGAGAUUUACUUUCUUUGCUUUGGUUCCGUCCAGCCCCUUUUCCCCAUAUUACCGUGUAAAGGAAUAAAGUCCUU